AGCGAACGCUGGCGGCAGGCCUAAUACAUGCAAGUCGAACGGUCUCUUCGGAGGCAGUGGCGGACGGGUGAGUAACGCGUGGGAACGUGCCCUUUGGUACGGAACAACUGAGGGAAACUUCAGCUAAUACCGUAUGUGCCCCUUCGGGGGAAAGAUUUAUCGCCAUUGGAGCGGCCCGCGUUGGAUUAGCUAGUUGGUGGGGUAAUGGCCCACCAAGGCGACGAUCCAUAGCUGGUCUGAGAGGAUGAUCAGCCACACUGGGACUGAGACACGGCCCAGACUCCUACGGGAGGCAGCAGUAGGGAAUCUUGCGCAAUGGGCGAAAGCCUGACGCAGCCAUGCCGCGUGAAUGAUGAAGGUCUUAGGAUUGUAAAAUUCUUUCACCGGGGACGAUAAUGACGGUACCCGGAGAAGAAGCCCCGGCUAACUUCGUGCCAGCAGCCGCGGUAAU
rnacentral:rRNA from 1 species